CUGACCUCGGAUCAGUAGA
rnacentral:rRNA from 1 species